GACUUUCGGGAUAGCAUUUGAAAUGUAAAUGAAGAAAAUUAUCUAAUAAAAAAUUGUUUAUAAAAAAAGAAAAGAAAAGAAAUGUAUUGCUAAGUAUUUAUUACCAUGUUCAAGAUUUGGUUUCUUACUAAAUAGAAAUUUAGGAAUCAAGAAGGGAACUCUGUAUGAGUACAGCAAUGCGGGACCUGGAGGGAUUGCAGACAGGAAUGCUCUUGCCAUAGAAGACCUCCGACAAUGUUUCUAUACCAGCUUCUAAAGCCUGGGUAUCGACAUUUACAAUGUAGAAUAUAAGGUGGCAGGCUUGAGGGGUCGUUGGCACAAGGAGUUCUGGCAGUGCAGAUGUGGGGUGAGAUAAGAAACAUCAGGCAGCUGGACUUCUGCUGUGAAGAUCGUAGUCAGCAGGUCCUAGGCAGUGACCCUAAAACCCCAGAAGUAAAGGAAGAUAUUUCUUGAAUUCACUUUUCUAUAAAAUCUUUCACAAUCAUUUUCUUAAGCAUAAAACAUAGAAAAUUCAUAUUUCAAGCUACAUUACUGUUUUUGUAUUGUUGUAAUUGCAUGUAAUGAGGAAUGAUGUUCUUAUUUAGCUUAUUCCAUAAAAUUUAGUCUACAUCUCCUUCUAUAAACUAUUCUAUAUAUGUUCAUCUAAUAGCAUACAUAAAGCUAUACAAAUUGCACAUUUUCCUUUGUCAAUAAAACCAAAAUCUUGUUUUGUAAUUACAAUAUUUAUGAAUUCAAUGAUAGCUAAACGUUUGUCACCAAAUAUCUAAUAAUUCCAAGCAAUCUGAAGUGGGCAUCCCUCCUUAUCUUAACCACGUUAAAGGACAAAAUGAUUCUCAUUGCAUUUUCAAAUUAUGUCGGUGUUGCAAUUCAAUUUUUAAGUAAAGUUAUAGGUGACAGAAGGUGGGCAGAAGAGCACAGUGUGAUCUGAGUUGUUGUCAGGAAAGGUCUCUUCCAGAACAGCUUUCUGCAUCUGUUAGAGGAGCAGAAUUAGGUACAAGUGAAAAUGAUGUAAACACUUUGGCAGUUGGCUAGAAUUUGAGACUUCCAGUGAAGAUGGAGAGUCCAAGGUAGGCUCAAAAGACUUGGGCGCAGAACUGAUGAGUGUGGAGGGCCACAGGCCAAAGGAGGGGGUGGAGUCUAGAAUUGUUCUGUGCUUCUCGCUUGCUUACUGUCUGCACAGUGGUGGUGUCCAGCAGAGGAGUGUCUCACAGACAGGCAGCAGCUCAGUGAGGGAGCUGAAACAUGUGUUUUCGUUUAGAAUUUAACUAGUACCACUAUUAAUAUAGUUAAACUAGUUUUCCAGAAGACUUGCUUUUAGCUGACUCCUUUGUCUCAGAAUCCUAUUAUUUGCAUAAGAGAAUAGUCUUACAACUCCCAGAUGUCCUUCUAGGUACUCUGUAUAACUCUACUUUUAUUUCUCUUCUUUUCUGUUUUAACUUUGUUGCCACACGUCAAAAUAACCAGAGUAAGCUUAAAACAUGCCCUUCUGGUGAGGAGUUGUGGUGCAGGCCUGCGGUCUUUGUAUUCUUUGUACUGGAGGGGGGGGGCAGAAGCAGUGGUGCCAUCCUGUAUUACAUAGUGACCUGCAGGACAGCCAAAAGAUUGUCAUUUUUUUCUCUUGAAGGAAACCAGGAAGGGCGGAUGCUCCUCUCUGAAAGGGAGGAGACAUCCUCCGUCAAAACCAUCAGUGUCUCUUCCCUUUCUAGGGAGCCCCUUGUGAUGCACUAUUACCACAGUGAUUAAUUUAAGAACAGGCUAAAGAAGAAGAGUGAUACAAAGGAAUAAACAUUCACUGAUAAUUUUCUAUGCUGCAUUGGGCUAUCAUUUUAUUCAUUUUGCCUUUUGCAAAAUCAAGAAAACAUAUUGUUUGGUCUUAAAUCGAAAGUUUUGGCAUAUUUGAGGUGUCUCAUCAGCUUCUUCAAAUUAAAUGAAAAUUCUAUGUUUAUAGUUUAUAUUAUUUUAAAUAUUUACUCAUUUUAAAUUGUGUUUUUGUAUUUGCAUGUGUGUAUGUGUGUGUGGGUGUGCUUGUGCGUGUGUGCAUGCAUGCAAACACAUGACUACAGUUACAUGGGAAGACCAGAGGUAUCAGCUUCCCUGAAUCUGAGUUUACCCUUACAGGCUCUUGUUGCACUGCCUGUUAUUGGUGCUGAGAAUUGAACUCAGGUUCUUUGUAAAAGCAGUGCACACUCUUAACUGAGGAGCCAGCUAUCUAGUGGGCACUUUCUACAUUCUAGUCUUCCCUCAUAUUUUCAUAGUUCUAGACCCUCCUCUUCCCAAUUGUUGUUUGUUUGUUUUACAUUUUGAUUGUUUGGCAUGAAGAAUGAUUUCUUGCUACGAAACCUUAAUGGUCUGGUGGAAACAGAAACAUUCUGAAAUGACCUAGAAUGGGAUGUUUGUAGAAGCAGAAAUUUCAUUUUAUUGAUUCCUUCAUAGCACCUGGCUCCUGAGAGAGUCAUGCAAAACUACAGUGGUCUCUAGAGGGUAGAUGCUGUGUGUGACCAAAACUUCUGUCACCUUGUUCUCAAGUCUAGGGACAUGUUUAGAUUUUUCUUCCCCCUACUCAUACAAGCC
rnacentral:lncRNA from 1 species